rnacentral:rRNA from 1 species
AUUGAACGCUGGCGGCAGGCCUAACACAUGCAAGUCGAGCGAGCGGCGGACGGGUGAGUAAUGUAUGGGGACUGCCCGAUAGAGGGGGAUAACUACUGGAAACGGUAGCUAAUACCGCAUACUAUCGGAUAACCCAUAUGGGAUUAGCUAGUAGGUGAGGUAAUGGCUCACCUAGGCGACGAUCCCUAGCUGGUCUGAGAGGAUGAUCAGCCAAACGGGGACGGAGACACGGCACAGACGCCUACGGAGGCAGCAGUGGGGAAUAUUGCAAAAUGGGAGCAAGCCUGAUGCAGCCAUGCCGCGUGUAUGAAGAAGGCCCUAGGGUUGUAAAGGACUUUUGGCAGAGAAGCGGUAUCUGCAGAAUAAGCACCGGCUAACUACGUGCCAGCAGCCGCGGUAAUUC